CCUACGGGUGGCAGUAGUGGGGAAUAUUGGGCAAUGGGCGCAAGCCUGACCCAGCAACGCCGCGUGAAGGAAGAAGGCUUUCGGGUUGGAAACUUCUUUUCUCAGGGACGAAGAAAGUGACGGUACCUGCGGAAUAAGCCACGGCUAACUACGUGCCAGCAGCCGCGGUAAUACGUAGGUGGCAAGCGUUAUCCGGAUUUAUUGGGUUGAAAGGGCUUGUAGGUUGGAGCGCAAGUCAGAUGUGAAAACUCAGGGCUCAACCCUUACCCUGCAUUUGAAACUGUGUUUCUUGAGUGCUGGGGAGGCAAUCGGAAUUCCGUGUGUAGCGGUGAAAUGCGUAGAUAUACGGAGGAACACCAGUGGCGAAGGCGGAUUGCUGGACAGUAACUGACGCUGAGGCGCGAAAGCGUGGGGAGCAAACAGGAUUAGAUACCCUUGUAGUG
rnacentral:rRNA from 1 species